UACUUCAUUGCUGAAGGUCGUGUCCCUGAA
rnacentral:sRNA from 1 species